UUUUACAAUGGGUUUCUGGAUUCCUUUUGUGCUGUCGGACGAGGGCCGGUUUGCUGGGAAUCUUCGGUCCACGCGGGGUAGGGAGGGUUUAUUGCAAGAAAAGCUGGAGGCGGAGAUUCAACGGGGCCGCAUGGCCGUUCCCUUUGAUUCCCCCCCAUUCCACAACCUGAGGGUGUCUCCGUUGGGUCUGGUACCCAAAAAAGACCCGGGAACUUUUCGGUUGAUUCACCAUCUCUCGUACCCUUCGGGGGCGUCGGUCAACGAUGACAUCAACAGGGAUGUGUGCAGGGUGCGUUAUGCGUCCUUCGACUCGGCCUUGUUCCUCCUGCGGCGGGCAGGUCGUGGGGCUUUAUUGGCAAAAUCGGAUAUUGAAUCGGCCUUUCGUUUGUUGCCAGUUCAUCCGGAUUGUUUUCACUUGUUGGGGUGUUUGGCGAACGGUUGCUUCGAUUAUGAUAUGUGCAUGCCCAUGGGUUGCGCUAUAUCUUGUUCUUAUUUCGAACUGUUUUCUUCCUUUUUGGAGUGGGUCACGUCUAGAGUUUCGAGUUUGGGGUCCUUGACCCAUUACUUGGACGAUUUUUUGUUUGUCGGUCCGUCGGGUUCCCAGGAUUGUAUGGCGUUGCUUCGGGCCUUCCGGCGGGUAGCGUCGGAGUUCGGGGUUCCUGUUUCCAAACAAAAAACGGUCGGCCCGGUGUUGGUUCUUUCGUUCUUGGGUAUCGAAAUCGAUACCGAGAGCAUGGUCUUCCGGCUUCCUGAGGAGAAGUUGGAGGGGUUGCUUCGGCUAGUGGACUUGGUCAAAGGUUCCAAGAAGGUUCAGUUGCGACAGAUGCAGGGCCUUUUGGGGCACUUGGUUUUCGCAUGUCGAGUGUUACCGAUGGGUCGGGCAUUUUGUCGCAGAUUGUCCUUGCCCAUGGUGGGGGUGAGGGAACCCUUCCAUUACAUUCGGAUCACGAGGCGCCUCCGGUCGGAUCUGACGGUGUGGAGCUCCUUCCUACGUAGUUAUAACGGGCAUUCUUGCUGGUUGAGGGAGGCCACCUCCAAUGCCGCGUUGGAUCUCUUUACCGAUGCCUCGGGGUCCGUUGGUUUUGGAGCCUAUUUUCGGGGUCAGUGGUGCGCGGGGGAGUGGCCGGAGGAUUGGCGGUCUUCCUUCCUGAGGAGGAAUUUGACCUUUUUGGAACUGUUUCCGAUAGUGGUCGCGCUGGAGCUGUGGGGCGAGGAUCUGAUAAAUCACACGGUGGUCUUUCACACGGACAACUUGAGUGUGGUUCAUGUGAUUGCCCGUUCGUCCUCCUCGUCUCCACCAGUUUUGGCUCUUCUCCGUCACCUCGUGCUCCUUAGUCUUAAGUGUAAUGUUUGGGUGCGGGCGCAGCAUGUCCCGGGUGUUCAGAACGUGG